GAUAAGCAAAAACUCCCAGGCAAUCGAAGAGAAGCCACCCCUCCUCGGGGCAGCUCACCCAGCAGCUCUGGAGCUUCCGUUUCCUGAUAAGCCUGAGGACAGAGGCUGCAAUGGAUAAGGAAAAAGCCUGUUGGCUGUAAGGAAGCCUCUUGUUUCUGGACAUUCCCUUCCUAUUACCCCACAGGCCUUCCAGCUCACAGGAAAGAUCCUGACCAAGCCCAGCUAUGAAUGGUUGCAGGAAAGAAGAAAUUAAUGCAUCCCCUCCAGAGUCCCAAAUGAAUCCCAGCUGGCUGCAUAAACUCCCCACCUCUCUAACGCACGCAAGCUUUUGCUUAUGAAGGUGCAUCUCUAUGUGUGCGCGAGUGUAGGGGUCACCGUCUUCCUGGGCUACAGCCUCCUGCUCGUUUCCUGUGGUGUUACGUUGCCCUCUCUCCUUCCAUGUCAGGGCGUAGAAAUCCAGCUCAUUCUUUACAAUGAGCCUUCUUUGUUCUUGCUCAUCCACGAGGAACUCCCUGAUUUCCUCAAUCAACCUCGCUGCCUCUGUUCACGCUGCUCCCCUGCCCAGAACACCUCACCCAUCACCCACCACGGCUCAUACCCUGGGUAGUUAAACCGCGGUACGGACUCAGCGCACGGCUCCUCCCAAAGGAGGAGUGGCCAGUCCAGGAUGGAGGUCUCCCCCUGUUCCUGAAGCACUGCCUUCCCCUCCCCACAUGACCAUGUCCCCAGGAUCUGGGGUUGGCGGGAGCAAAGAAACCCCGGGAGGAAGGAGACAAAUCCUGCGUGGGCUCUGGAGGACCCGUGUGCUGCUGAAACUGGGAUGUCUGUAAUGCUGACGGGUUUAAUUAACGCCACUCUACCCCCACUCCUGGGCAUCCACGCCUCACCCACCACAGAGGAAAGGCCCUGCCCUGAGUGCCUGCCCUACAGUGCUGCACCAGGCAUCACUGACCGGGCCUGGAGGGAGCUGGUGGGGCCGAGAAGGCUUCUCAGAGGAGGUCAUAAGGGGUCAAUAGGAUCUUUCCAGCAGAGAAGCAGGCAGGACCUUCCUGGAAAAGGAAGCACGAAGUUACGGGGGUACAGGCCGAGUAAACUCUGAAGAUGUAAUGUUUGGCAAUGUGACAGUAAUUAACAAGGCUGUGUGUGUACUCGAAAUCUGCCGCCAGGAGAGGUCUUACGUGUUCUCGCCACACACCCAGAAAAAGAGAAGGAAACGGUAACCCUGUGAGUUGACCAGUGCGUGAAUUCGCUUGACUGUCGUGAUCAUUUUAGCGUUUGCCUGUAUCAAAACAUGAAAUCGUGCUCUUCAAAUAUAUGCACAGUUUUUGUUUGUCGAUUAUAUCUCAAUAA